ACAGAAAAUAAGGCUGCUCCACCCCCCUCUUGUCUCUCCUUCUCACCCCACUUGCCUAUAUUCCCUUCCUCCCUCUAAAUCUUUUUUUGAUCCCACCUCUCUCUGCAUCAUUUUUAAUUCCAGGAUCCUGUCUCCAAAGACUGGCUGUCUCUGUCGAACACAGAUGGGCUGUCACCUCUUUGUGCAGCGCAGAUGACCUUCACCUUUAAGUCUGCUCCAUACAGCGAAGGAUGAGUGCUUGGCUGUUCUCCCUGACCUGGUCCUUUCCGUCGCCCAGCCUGUCCACCAAAGCUGGCACAACUACAGACAGAAAAAGAGGUCAACAAAUGAGAAGGUGUGAACUUCUGUACUCACAGCUGUCCACUUGUGAUUGGAUCAUCCAGGGCACAUGUUUAAACCAGGUGUGAACAG